UGCUCAAUUUUUCUCCUUCUAAAAAUGCUCAAUCUCUCAUAACUUCGUACAGCUUUCAGUCCCAUUUACGAUGAACGACCCACAUCUGUGUACUGUAUCUUAAAGAGGAAUCCUUCACGCAGCAGGCAAAGGGGGGCUGUGAAUGGCUCCAAAAGAAGCCUGGAGCUCUUUCUCCAGACUCUGUUUUUGCUUUCUUCUCUCACCGGUACUGCAAGUUUCAGAGUGCAGAAUCCUCAGCAGGAAAGGGAGAGGCUGAACAGGAUCCUGGGAGGCUCUCUGUUGCUCCCUGCAGGUAUUCCACCUACGGCAACACUGAAGACGAUCGACUGGUAUUUCCAGGGGGGGAAUGGUUUGGGAAUUCAGCUGGCUGAAUUCAGGGAAGGAGAACUGCAGAGAAGCAAUCCAAGGGACAGGUUUGGGCCAAGAUUGGAGAUGGUCAAUGAGACCACCCUGCGGAUCAAAGACUUGGAAAUGGAUGACAGUGGCAAAUAUUCCAUUAGAGUGAAGUUUACUUCGGCACGGUAUAAAGAUUACACCUUCCACCUCUCUGUGUAUGAACCAGUCCCAGAACCCAAAAUCCUCUCCCAAAUUGUCUCCAACAGCCCAGAUGGCUGUAACGUGACCCUGCAGUGUCAGGUGGCUGAAAAGGGGGAAAUCAACAUCUCCUGGGAAAGAGACUUAAAAGAUGGUUCAAAGUCAUACCACCUCUCUGGCAAUGGCAAGGAUCUCCACUUGUUCUGGAAGCUCAACUCCUCAGAUCCCAACAUCACCUGCCUGGUCACCAAUCCAGCUGAUCAGAAAAGCAUCUCCUUCAACUUGCUGCACAUCUGCCAAACUGAAGGUGACUGUCAACUCACAUUUGUGGUGGAACUUUUGAGGUGGAGUAUUCUCAUUUUCUUCGUAAUUUUGCUCCUCUUGGCUGGAUUUGGGAUAAAGACCUGGAAGACAAGAAGGACGAUGCCCACCAACGAAGGUAGGAAACUUUUAGUAAGAGCAGAAGGAAAGUCUUGAGGGAACAGACCAAAGCAUCCAUUAAUAUGACCAUCUUGCCUCCCACAGCUUAUCUCUGUGAAACUUGAGUCCCUUUCAGUGGGAGUUUAGGGUUCCUAUGCAUGGUUCUGUAUCUGUCGGAGACCAGGCUGAGGAGUACAGCUCUGAUGAGGAAUAGUGGGAGCCUACCCCUCCCCCUACCCCUCCCCCUGCUCCUGACCAGGAUUCUGGAGCUGCCCAGGAACAGUGGAGCAGUAUAGAUUUGGAACAGUGGUUUGCAGAGGGGCAUAGUUCUGAAGACAAAAGUUAGGAAGAACUGGGGGUUGAACAGCAAAGUGAAGAACAGAUGGGAAAGAGCUAACAGACUCUUUCUCGCUGGAAAGUGUUCAGCCUAUCAGUCCAAGAUCACAUAGAGCAGAUAAGAUGGCUACAGAAAAAGCACGAUGGUUGCGAGAUCAGGUUGUAAGACAGAAGUGACUAGGGGGGAAGUGGGUGGAAUCCUUAACUGGGAACACCUUCAUCUGAGAAUGGAAGCUUUGUUCUUUUGCUGUGAUCAUUAAAGACUCUUUAAAUGGUAAGGGACUCUUUUCUCUUUGUCCUGCUUAUCUACGGCCAAAGGGGGGGGGGAGGAAGCCGAGUCCCCAGAGCCUGACAGUACCCUUAGAAGCAAGUGUUGGUGACCCCAUGGAGUAAAUGUCUUACCUUCCCCUCUGCAGCUGCCUCCAUGGUGGCAACAGAGGAGGCAUUUCUUGAGCCUCAGUACUCAGAGGUUGUAAAGAGGAGCCCCCCGGAAGGCAAUGAUGAGCAGAGUUGCCCCUCUAGAUGGCAGUGACGUGAUAACAUUGUGGAAGCACCACCGAGUAUCUAGCGGGAAAGAUGGCAACCCAGAGAUGUAUUGCUGUGAUCUCUCUAUCCAUGGAGGACUCUUGGUACUCAGCUACACAGCAGCAAAUAAAAUGUUUUAAGUGUGUUUUACCUGCAAUAUACAAUGCGAUGCUAGAUGGCAAUGGUGAGUCUUAAGGUUUCCUGGGCUUUGAAGACACUCGAACUCAGGACGCAAAGGAGAAACAUGCUAAGAGGAAGGCACGCUUGGCAAAUCCACACCGUGACCAACUCCCGCCCGGAAACCAAUGUCCCCACUGUGGAAGGAAGUGUGGAUCCAGAACUGGCCUCCACAGUCACUUACGGACUCAUUGUUAAAACCAUGUUUAUGGAAGACAGUCUUACUUGGCUACAAGUAAUCGCCAAAGAAGAAGUAUGUAAAACUGAAUGUCUUUUUUAAAACCGCUUUUAAAAAAUGCAUUUUCAGAACAUUAUAUGUGUGUAGAUUCCACCUAGGUGUCUAUGUUGGCAUCUAUCUGCCUUGAGAGAAAAUGAAGUGUUCCUCUGGGGAUGAAGCCGAACCACUGUGUUUGCAGCACCAAAGUGACCUCCCUGUGGGGCAAGCCUGACCCCCCUCUUGGUCUUGCUGAUGUGGCCCAAAGGAAAGCAGAGCAAUAAAUUUGGCAACAUACUGGCUGCAGGAGUUGCCAGAAGGAGGUGUACAGGGCACCACCCAACCGUCUUAGGGACUCCACUCCGCUCAGUAUAGGCUUUAUUCCUUACGUUUUUCUUGUCCUGAAGAUCUCCUGGCAUAAAAUAAAUAAUAUAUCAGUCUCUGCCAAGUCUGAACUCCAAAGGGAAACAUGACCACUCGGCAGAGAUUAGAGGUUGCCUCCAUCUUGUUCAGUAUCGUAUGCACUGGAAAUGGAAGCGGGGGCGGAAUUGUGGAAAUGUUAAAUUUGCAGCAUGUUAUGCUUUGAAAGAAAAUUUCAUGGAAAUGAUUUUAUAAAUGGUAUCUGACGCUGAGUAAGCUAGCAAGAAUGUACAGAUCAGUCAGGUAUGUGCUGGAAAUGUUAAGAGACAGGAGGUGUUUUUUACCAUAUGUGGUGGGCAUAUAAAGUGGCAAAGGGUUUCUGUGAGAUUAUUUAUUAUAGUGAGGUAAAAAAAAUAAAUGCUUAAGGUGACACUCCCCUCCCUCCCAAAAAAAACCUGAAGUAUUUCUUUUAGGGAUAAUGGGAUGAACUUAUUAUUGUAUUCAAGAGGACUUUAUGUGCAGGACAUACAGUACCUCCUAAAGAAGAGUGGCAGUUAAAACGGAUGGAAUAUGCCCAAUAGGCAAAUUUGACUAUGAAAACUGGUGAUCAAGAAGAGGCAGAUUUUAAGGAGGAGUUGAAACCUUUUGUUGAAUAUCUAAAGAAUUAUUGUAAACAUGUAAAAUCACAGGUAGGAUUUGAAUGCAGAGCAGCAACUUGUUGGAGUGUGGAAAAGUUAAAGUGUAAGAUAUCUGUAAAGGUAAAGGUAAAGGGGCCCCUGACCAUCAGGUCCAGUCGUGUCCGACUCUGGGGUUGCGGCGCUCAUCUCGCUCUAUAGGCCGAGGGAGCAGGCGGUUGUCCGCAGACAGCUUCUGGGUCAUGUGGCCAGCAUGAUAAAGCUGCUUCUGGCGAACCAGAGCAGCGCACGGAAACGCCGUUUACCUUCCCGCCGGAGCGGUCCCUAUUUAUCUACUUGCACUUUGAUGUAAUGAGCAGCAAUUUUAGAAAUUACGGGGGGAAACCAUGGAGGGGAAGUGAAAUGAAUGUGUAUCCGGAAAGUAUGGAUCCAUUUGUAAACUGUUGGAAUUCAGAAACAAAACUAAAAAAAGUAUUGUCCACCCUGACCGGCUGCUGCUUUCCAGGGUUUCCUAUGGAUUUGUUGAGGUUCCUUUAAUUGCUGUUAAGGAAUAUCCUCCUUCGCUUCGCUGCAAGGAAGCUCUGCCAGAUUGAUACUGAGCUCUGUGCCAUCUGUAUGCUGUGAGUUGUCCUUGCAUUGCAUUUGAAGCCUGUGCCUGCUAUUAGUGACAUAGCCUGUAUAGAGUGUAUUUUGUGAAACUGCCUGAAUGCUUUGGGCCUGUCGGUAAAGGACUGAACUGACUGAAGAGUUGGAGUCGGACUGAAUUUCGUCCAGCACAAAACUGGACUGCUACGAACCUACACGCUGGGGGAGCUGCACACUGCAUUUUGCAUUCAGGAGCUGCUGCCACCUGGUGGCUAUAGCAUAAAAAUGCAUUAUUUUGGAGAAACAAAAUAAAAAAAAAUCCUUCCAGUAGCACCUUAGAGACCAACUAAGUUUGUUAUGAGCUUUCGUGUGCAUGCACACUUCUUCAGAUUAUUUUGGAGAGGAGGGUUGUUAUUGUUGUUUUAAAAGUCUUUAUUUGAUUUUUAAAAUACAAAUUUAUAACAAAAUCUAUUGCAAACCCAUAUAAAGAGAUUACUCUAAAGCGCAAGACUCCCCCACCACCACCACCACCACCAUGGGUCCUAAAGUCAACAUUUACAACUGCAUAUCAAUCUGUUAUCCAUGUUUUUAUAUAUCUGAAUUAUCCAUAGUCUUUGUUACCUUACAAGUGAGAUUAAAAUCCUGCUCAUGCUUUCAUCUGCUUACAAUGGUCACCUAAAUAAAUUGUGAAUCUUUCCCAUUCUUUUUUUUAAAGUUCUUGUGCUCUUGGUUCCUGAGCUUUCCAGUUUAACCAUUUCCGCAUAGUCCAUCAACUUGGUUUGCCAUUCUUCCCUAGUCUUUCCCUCUCUGGGCUAGAGGAGGAUUUUUUAACAGGGUUCCUUCUGUGGCAGCACUGC